rnacentral:rRNA from 1 species
GCUGGCGGCAUGCUUUACACAUGCAAGUCGAGCGGCAGCGCGGGGCAACCUGGCGGCGAGCGGCGGACGGGUGAGUAACAGAUAGGAACGUAUCCGGGAGUGGGGGAUAACUAGCCGAAAGGUUAGCUAAUACCGCAUAUUCUCUGUGGAGGAAAGCGGGGGACUCGUAAGGGCCUCGCGCUCGCGGAGUGGCCUAUCUCCGAUUAGCUAGUUGGUGAGGUAAAGGCUUACCAAGGCGACGAUCGGUAGCUGGUCUGAGAGGAUGAUCAGCCACACUGGGACUGAGACACGGCCCAGACUCCUACGGGAGGCAGCAGUGGGGAAUUUUGGACAAUGGGGGCAACCCUGAUCCAGCCAUGCCGCGUGCGGGAAGAAGGCCUUCGGGUUGUAAACCGCUUUUAUUCGGGAAGAAGGAGUGCGGGCUAAUACCCUGCAUGACGGACGGUACUGGAUGAAUAAGCACCGGCUAACUACGUGCCAGCAGCCGCGGUAAUACGUAGGGUGCGAGCGUUAAUCGGAAUUACUGGGCGUAAAGCGUGCGCAGGCGGUUGGCAAAGUCAGCUGUGAAAGCCCCGGGCUUAACCUGGGAAUGGCGGUUGAAACUAGUCGACUAGAAUCUGGCAGAGGGGGGUGGAAUUCCACGUGUAGCAGUGAAAUGCGUAGAGAUGUG